UACGGACGGGGCAGGCGUUGUUCGGAAUCAUUGGGCGUAAAGGGCGCGUAGGUGGUUUUGUGUGUCUACCGUGAAAGCAUACAGCUCAACUGUAUUUUGUCGGUAGAAACUGCAGGACUUGAGGCUGGGAGGGGCUGGUGGAAUUCCCUGUGUAGCGGUGAAAUGCGUAGAGAUGGGGGAGAACACUCGUGGCGAAGGCGGCCAGCUAGACCAGUUCUGACACUGAGGCGCGACAGCGUGGGGAGCAAACAGG
rnacentral:rRNA from 1 species